GUCCACGCCGUAAACGAUGGGCACUAGGUGUUCGGGGUUUUGACCCCCUGAGUGCCGCAGCUAACGCAUUAAGUGCCCCGCCUGGGGACUACGGCCGCAAGGCUAAAACUCAAAGGAAUUGACGGGGGCCCGCACAAGCGGUGGAGCAUGUGGUUUAAUUCGACGCAACGCGAAGAACCUUACCUGGGCUAGACGACAUCGGACAGCCUCAGAAAUGAGGUCUUCCCGCAAGGGACCGGUGGUUCAGGUGCUGCAUGGCUGUCGU
rnacentral:rRNA from 1 species